rnacentral:rRNA from 1 species
GAUGAACGCUGGCGGCGUGCCUAAUACAUGCAAGUCGAGCGAACAGACGAGGAGCUUGCUCCUCUGACGUUAGCGGCGGACGGGUGAGUAACACGUGGAUAACCUACCUAUAAGACUGGGAUAACUUCGGGAAACCGGAGCUAAUACCGGAUAACAUGUUGAACCGCAUGGUUCAACAGUGAAAGACGGUCUUGCUGUCACUUAUAGAUGGAUCCGCGCCGCAUUAGCUAGUUGGUAAGGUAACGGCUUACCAAGGCAACGAUGCGUAGCCGACCUGAUAGGGUGAUCGGCCACACUGGAACUGAGACACGGUCCAGACUCCUACGGGAGGCAGCAGUAGGGAAUCUUCCGCAAUGGGCGAAAGCCUGACGGAGCAACGCCGCGUGAGUGAAGAAGGUCUUCGGAUCGUAAAACUCUGUUAUUAGGGAAGAACAAAUGUGUAAGUAACUAUGCACGUCUUGACGGUACCUAAUCAGAAAGCCACGGCUAACUACGUG